GAUGAACGCUGGCGGCGUGCUUAACACAUGCAAGUCGAACGAUGAAGCCCAGCUUGCUGGGUGGAUUAGUGGCGAACGGGUGAGUAACACGUUAGUAACCUUCCCUUAACUCUGGGAUAAGCCUGGGAAACUGGGUCUAAUACCGGAUAGGAGCGUCCACCGCAUGGUGUGUGUUGGAAAGAUUUAUCGGUUUUGGAUGGACUCGCGGCCUAUCAGCUUGUUGUUGAGGUAAUGUCUCACCAAGGCGACAACGGGUAGCCGGCCUGAGAGGGUGACCGGCCACACUGGGACUGAGACACGGCCCAGACUCCUACGGGAGGCAGCAGUGGGGAAUACUGCACAAUGGGCGGAAGCCUGAUGCAGCGACGCCGCGUGAGGGAUGAAGGCCUUCGGGUUGUAAACCUCUUUCAGUAGGGAAGAAGCGAAAGUGACGGUACCUGCAGAAGAAGCACCGGCUGACUACGUG
rnacentral:rRNA from 1 species